rnacentral:rRNA from 1 species
CGAGGACGACGCUGGCGGCGUGCCUAAUACAUGCAAGUCGAGCGGACGUUUUUGAAGCUUGCUUCAAAAACGUUAGCGGCGGACGGGUGAGUAACACGUGGGCAACCUACCUUAUCGACUGGGAUAACUCCGGGAAACCGGGGCUAAUACCGGAUAACAUCUAGCACCUCCUGGUGCCGGAUUAAAAGAGGGCUUCUUGCUCUCACGAUGAGAUGGGCCCGCGGCGCAUUAGCUAGUUGGAGAGGUAACGGCUCCCCAAGGCGACGAUGCGUAGCCGACCUGAGAGGGUGAUCGGCCACACUGGGACUGAGACACGGCCCAGACUCCUACGGGAGGCAGCAGUAGGGAAUCUUCCGCAAUGGACGAAAGUCUGACGGAGCAACGCCGCGUGAGUGAUGAAGGGUUUCGGCUCGUAAAGCUCUGUUAUGAGGGAAGAACACGUACCGUUCGAAUAGGGCGGUACCUUGACGGUACCUCAUCAGAAAGCCACGGCUAACUACGUG